GGGCAUAGCCCCUUGUUCUCCGCCAGCGGUGGACAAGCUGCGUAACGGUUCACACACUGAUGGCUCCUAGAGGUUUGGCGAAAUACUGACAGGAUGCGGCGCCAACGGGAGCGUAGGGCCAAGAUACCCUUUAUAUCAAAUUGUCUAUCCUGGAGCAGAAAAAUCCUGUCUUCAUUGCUAUAGCUACAGAUUCAGAAAUGAGCAUGUAACAAAUUCAGGCCAAAGAGAGUAUCAUAGGGAAAGUCACAAUUCUUAAUGGGUACUGAAGUAUCGGAUGAGUUGAAGAAAAUGAAGGAGUGGUGAAGCCAAUCAGCAAUUCCUAAAGAGAUACUCCAAAAAGGUGACCUGAGGAUGUGCCACACACAUUCCCUCUUCAAGGAUUAGACUUGCUGCCCAGCUAUAGCAAGUAUGGUGAGCAGACAGCUUCCAGCUGUCAUUGUCUUCAUGGUCUGCCUCAGCUACAGAGAGAGCUGCUUUGCCUGACUUUACUCCUUGGGAUCACUCAGUGAUUGAUACAGAUUAAGCCCCGAAAAACAUCUUGCAUCCCAAACUCCAUCUGAGCAUCUGCUUCUGGAGAACCUAUUUGUGGUACACAGAAUAAUGACCCCUCAAGGAUGUCUACAUCUUAAUUUCAGAAACCUACAGAGGAAGAGGCCAGGAGCCAAGGAAUCCAGGCCACCUCUAGAAGAUGGAAAAGACAAGGAAGCAGAGUCAUCCUUAGAGGGAUCCAGAGGGAACAUGGCCUGCUGACAACUUAAUUUCAGUCGAGUGAAACUCAUUUGGGACUUCUGACUUCAGAACUGUAAAAUUAUAAAUUUGUCUUGUCUUAAACCACUAAAUUUAUUACAGAAAAAAUAGGAAACUAAUUCACCGUCCAACAGCACAUUUUGUUCAGUCUGAUAUCAUUUUGGUUAAAAAUGUUUUCACAGGAAAAAAUACUGGGAGAAUAUACAUUGAAGGAUAUAUAAUAUUUAUUACUGGGUAAGAUUUUGCUUAUGUCAUUUUCUAGAUUAUCUAUAAUAAACAUAUUUUUUCUACAACAAAUAAAUGUGUAAAGAAGGAAGUGAAUGGUUUCCAUGAAGUUUGGUCAAAAUACUCAAAAGUAAUGAUGGAAUAUAUGUACUAUACAUCUUUUCUAGAGGAAAACUGAGAGAACACUAUUAAUUAUCAUAAUAGAAUAAUCCUUUAGAGAGAGAACAUGAGAUCAGAUUAGCUCAAAUGGAUGAAAUAGCAACAUGGUACAUGCUGAAUUAAGUUAUUUAUAAACAUUGUUUAAUUCGAUUGUUCCUCUAUUGAUGGUGGUAUUCACUUUGUUGUUGUUCUCUCUUUUCUUUUUUCACUGUUAACAAUGCUACAAUAAAUAUCCUUGCACUGAGAUCUCUAUCUACUCUCUCCUUAACACUUUUAGGAUAGAUUCUUAAGAGAUUAAUUCUGCCUAAGUAAUUUAUAUGUUUUAAUUUCUAAUAAGUGUCAUCAGAUUGCUCUUCAAAGGUGCCAUUACUAUUCAAAUUUCCAGUAGUAAUGCAUAGGAAUACCCAGUCCCCACAGUGCCCUUUUAGAUUUUUAUAGAUUGACACAAAUGACAUGACUAGGGCUUAGGGACCAGCCAGAAACUUGCUGCAAAGGUGACUUGAAACUUAACCCAAGAUUGUUGGCUAAGAAGGUUUAUAUGUUCUCUGUUUCUGAUCAAGGUUGAUCCUGAGAUCAGGAGUUUGGGCUGCGACUGCUGGGAACUAGCCUGAGUCAUACACUGGGCCAACAUUCCGGUGUUAUCUUCAGUUAGUUUCCUUAGUAAUACUCCAACCACACUGAGACAUACUCUCCUUGUCCUUUAAUUGUUUAUAAUUUAAUUUUCUUCUCUUUGAAAUUUUGCCCAUUAUAAGCUAUUUUCAUAUUUGUGAGAAAAUGAAAUCACAGAAUUUCAAAAUUUUGGGGACAAAGAUAUACAACCUUCCACCAAAUCCAGUUUUCUGGUAAGCAUGUACUGCUCUUAUCCUUUAAGAUCUAAACUUAAAACUGUAUUUUCUUGGAAGCCUUUCCUCAUUCUUUCAGCUGCUGUCAUUCUUGCCUCUAUUCAAAUCUAUGAUGUUUCAUUUGCACUUUUUGUUUUUUUGGCAAUUUAUUACAGUAAGUACUUUGAAAUUUAGUGGUCUAGCCUGUUUGUGUAGCUAGAAAGGAAUACUUGAGGCUGGAUAAUUUAUGAAGAGAAAAGGUUUAUUUGGCUUACAGUUCUGCAGGCUGUACAAGAAGGAUGGCAUCAGCAUCUGCUUCUAGUGAGGGCUUCUGGAAGCUUCGACUCAGGAUAGAAGUUGAAGGGGAGCUGGCAUGUAGAGAUCACAUGGUGGAAAGUAAGAGAGAAGGAAAAAGAAUAGGGAGGGAGGUGGCAGACUUUUAAACAAUUAGAUCUCUGGGAACUAUUAGAACUGAGGAGAACUCACUCAUUACCAUUAAUCCAAUGGGACUAAACCAUUCAUGAGGGAUUUGCCCCAUGCCCCAAACAUCUUACACUAGGUCCCACCUUCAACAUUGUGGAUCAAUUUAGAUGUGAGAUUUGGAGGGGACAAUUGUCCAAACUAUGUAAGUUUGUUAUUUUUCCUAAAACAGUAUCUUAUAAUAAAUAGGAAUAUAAGUAUGUGUUAAAUAAAAUAUAAGCCUGUUAAUGGUACAAAUGUGAAACGAUUUGCAGUUAUGGCAAACAAACAAAACAACUGAAUCUCAUUAGUAUGCAUGAGAUUCAGGCUUUGAGAAGUUUUCUUUGAUGAAAAACAAAGGCAGAGAAAGCCAUCAUAACUAUAUCCUGCAGAAGCAGGGGUGCAUUUAUCUGGUCAGAAAUUGCAAUAAUUUUUAAUUGUUGUAAAUUUUUGCUAGCAAAUUAGAUUUGCCAGCAUAGGCUAUAACAAUUUGUUAUGGGUUGAAUUGUGUCCCUCAAAAAGAUAUGUCAAAGUCUUAAUUCUCAGUACCAUAAUGUUACAUUUUUGUAAAUAGGGUUAUUGCAGAUGUAAUUAAGUUGAGAUUGGGUUCCACUAGAGUAAGGCAGGCUCUUAAUUUAAUAUAAUUGGUGUUCUUAUAAGAAAGAAUAGACAUAGAGACAGAGAUGCACAAGGAUAACACCAUGUAAUGACAGUGGGAGAGACUGGAGUGACACACCAACAGGCAAAGGAACAUCAAGGGCUGCCAAUAUCUUAGUCCAUUUUCUGUUGCUUAUAAAAAUAUCAGAAACUAUAUAAUUUAUUUUAAAAAAGGAUUCGAUUUCUUAAAAAUAGGGAGGCUAUUUUCACAGUAUUGAUUCUUCCUACCCAUGAGCACAGAAUAUUUUUCCAUUUGUUUGUGUCUUCUCUUAUUUCCUUGAGCAGUGAUUUGUAGUUCUCCUUGAAGAGGUCCUUUACAUUGCUUGUAAGUUGUAUUCCUAGUUAUUUUAUUCUCUUAGUAGCAAUUGUGAAUGGGAGUUCAUUCAUGAUUUGCCUGUUUGUUUGUCUGUUAUUGGUGUAUAGGAAUGCUUUUUAUUUUUGCACUUUGAUUUUGUAUCCUGAGACUUUGCUGAGGGUGCUUAUCAGCUUAAGGAGAUUUUGGGCUGAGACAAUAGGGUUUUCUAAAUAUACAAUCAUGUCAUCUGCAAACAGAGACAAUUUGACUUCCUCUCUUCCUAUUUGAAUACCGUUUAUAUUGCCCAAAGUAAUUUAUAGAUUCAAUGCUAUCCCCAUCAAGCUACCACUGACUUUCUUCACAGAACUGGAAAAAACUACUUUAAACUUCAUAUGGAACCAAAAAAGAGCCUGCAUAGCCAAGACAGUCCUAAGCAAAAAGAAGAAAGCUGCAGGCAUCACUCUACCUGACGUCAAACUAUACUACAAGGCUACAGUAACCAAAACAGCAUGGUUCUGGUACCAAAACAGAUAUAUAGACCAAUGGAACAGAACAGAGCUCUCAGAAAUAACACCACACAUCUACAACCAUCUGAUCUUUGACAAACCUGACACAAACAAGCGAUGGGGAAAAGAUUCCCUAUUUAAUAAAUGGUGUUGGAAAAACUGGCUAGCCCUAUGCAGAAAACUGAAACUGGACCCCUUCCUUACACCUUACACAAAAAUCAACUCAAGAUGGAUUAAAGACUUAAAUAUAAGACCUAAAACCAUAAAAAUCCUAGAAGAAAACUUGGGCAAUACCAUUCAGGAGAUAGGCAUGGGCAAAGACUUCAUGUCUAAAACACCAAAAGCAAUGGCAACAAAAGCCAAAAAUUGACAAAUGAGACCUCAUUAAACUAAAGAGCUUCUUCACAGCAAAAGAAACUAUCAUCAGAAUGAACAGGCAACCUACAGAAUGGGAGAAAAUUUUUGCAAUCUAAAUAUCCAGAAUCUACAAAGAACUUAAACACAUUUACAAGAAAAAAAAAACAUCAAAAAGUGGGUGAAGGAUAUGAACAGACACUUCUCAAAAGAAGACAUUUAUG